UUAAAAGAGGGAUUCAUCACCCAGUGUGCAAUAAGCCAGUCUCGCACACAGAGCCCAGAGAUGUUCCUGUGAAGAUCAUUUCAUGAAGGAUGCUCUUUUAUUGUUUUAUUCAAUGUUGUUCAUUACCGUCAAAUCAAUCAAGUGGCUCAUCAAAAAACUCCCAGGGAAUUAUGGAAUGGAUGAGUCAUUAAGACCAGGAAGCUGGAAAAAGAAAUGUUAAAGGGGAGGAAAUGCUUUAUACUCAUCAAGGAAAACAUCUGCCAUGA